UACAAACUGAAGCGCUGAACAAAGGACUGAAUGACCCAUUCAAGCUGUGGAUGUACUCCAGAGACUUGACAUAAGCCAGCAGCUUAUUCCAUCACUGCAACAAGCCUGAACCAAGAACUUUGCCAUUACUAUAUAGGGGCAGUGAGAUUAUAUGG